GCCCGGAGACCGCUCACUCACGAGAACACGUACGGCAGGAGCGGGGGACCCAGGUAAGUCGCCGUACCGGGAUGUCUUCGGACAGAACCGGCACGGCUCGGGGUGAAGUCAUGCCUUUUCGGCAUGGCCGGGCAACUCCCGCCCGAACCCGACAGCUCACCUCGCAGGCGCCGGAGAGGAAAUUC
rnacentral:sRNA from 2 species